AUACAGAGGGUGCAAGCGUUAAUCGGAAUUACUGGGCGUAAAGCGCGCGUAGGUGGUUCAGUAAGAUGGAAGUGAAAUCCCCGGGCUCAACCUGGGAACUGCUUCCAUAACUGCUGGGCUAGAGUACGGUAGAGGGUAGUGGAAUUUCCUGGGUAGCGGUGAAAUGCGUAGAUAUAGGAAGGAACACCAGUGGCGAAGGCGACUACCUGGACUGGUACUGGCAGUGGGGUGGGAAAAGGUGGGGAGGAAAAAGGAUUGAAUACCCCGGCAGUCCACGGCGUAAACGAUGUCAACUAGCCGUUGGAGUCCUUGAGACUUUAGUGGCGCAGCUAACGCACUAAGUUGACCGCCUGGGGAGUACGAUCGCAAGAUUAAAACUCAAAUGAAUUGACGGGG
rnacentral:rRNA from 1 species